rnacentral:rRNA from 1 species
UAGGGAAUCUUCGGCAAUGGACGAAAGUCUGACCGAGCAACGCCGCGUGAGUGAAGAAGGUUUUCGGAUCGUAAAACUCUGUUGUUUGAGAAGAACAAGGACGUUAAUAACUGCACGUCCCUUGACGGUAUCUAACCAGAAAGCCACGGCUAACUACGUGCCAGCAGCGGCGGUAAUACGCAGGUGGCAAGCGUUGUCCGGAUUUAUUGGGCGUAAAGCGUGCGUGGGCGGUAUCUUAAGUCUGAUGUGAAAGCCCCCGGCUCAACCGGGGAGGGUCAUUGGAAACUGGGAGGCUUGAGUGCAGAAGAGGAGAGGGGAAUUCCAUGUGUAGCGGUGAAAUGCGUAGAUAUAUGGAGGAACACCGGUGGCGAAGGCGGCUCUCUGGUCUGUAACUGACGGUGAGGCGCGAAAGCGUGGGGAGCAAACAGG